rnacentral:rRNA from 1 species
AGGGCACCACCAGGAGUGGAGCCUGCGGCUUAAUUUGACUCAACACGGGAAAACUCACCCGGCCCGGACACUGGAAGGAUUGACAGAUUGAGAGCUCUUUCUUGAUUCAGUGGGUGGUGGUGCAUGGCCGUUCUUAGUUGGUGGAGUGAUUUGUCUGGUUAAUUCCGAUAACGAACGAGACUCUAGCCUACUAAAUAGAUAGUCGGCUUACAAACGUCGACUAGACUUCUUAGAGGGACAGGCGGUGAUUCAACCGCACGAAACAGAGCAAUAACAGGUCUGUGAUGCCCUUAGAUGUCCGGGGCCGCACGCGCGCUACACUGAAGUGAUCAGCGUGCUUUUUCAGCCUACUCUGUCAAGAGUGGGAAACCCAAUGAACCUUCUUCGUGAUUGGGAUAGGGGAUUGUAAUUAUUCCCCUUGAACGAGGAAUUCCCAGUAAGCGCGAGUCAUAAGCUCGCGUUGAUUACGUCCCUGCCCUUUGUACACACCGCCCGUCGCUACUACCGAUUGAAUGUUUU